ACUGGGAUAGUUCAGUCAGUAGAGCAGGAGACUCUUAAUCUCAGGUCGUGGGUUCGAGCCCCACUUUGGGCA